ACUAAAAAUAUGUUGUCUCUUUAGAACAGUGACGGAGGCAGUGAAGGAACUUCAGUAUAGGAGAUGGCAUCUCAUUUCUUCACUGUUCUCACAAAGGUGACCAGCUGUGUGACAAAUCCUUGGAAUCUGGAGCUAACCCCUGAGGGAAUAGUACCAGGAAAUUAUGUUUUGGCUUCACUUCUGAAUCAACAAUGAUGGUCGCCAUCUGCAGAGGAUGAGGGAGAAGGAACAGUUUAGCAUGAGUAUCAGCAUUUCUGAGAGUUCAGUUUCUUUGAAAACCACAGAAGGGAAAAUGCAGUGGAGAACUUGUGAACAACUGGGUCAGGAAAAACUGCGGCUGCUUUUCAGGGCUCUGAUCUAGGAACCCCAGAUGCAAAGACAUGCUGGCGUCCUCUUGCUCAGCCAUUCACCGGGAAACAGGUGAGCCAGCUCACUUCAUCAACCUCCGUGUGCAAUGUAGCUCAACAAAUAACUGAUUGACAAUCCUUUAUAAAUAUUAACAUGGUGCAAAAGUAAUGGCAAAAACCACAAUUACUUUUGUAUUUGUGUACUAAUACUAUUGGCCGUGUUGUCACAUGCGUGCAUUUGGAUUUACUGA
rnacentral:lncRNA from 10 species